rnacentral:tRNA from 1 species
GACUUCUUGGCGCAAUUGGUAGCGCGUCAGAUUCCAAAAUCGGACUACAUCUGAAGGUUGGGAGUUCGAGUCUCUCAGAGGUCA